AUAUAUGUAUAUAUAUGUUUAUAUAUUAUUUUCUGGGAAAAGUAUACAGGUUUUACAGAGAUGGGUUAGAAUUAUUUUUGGCGAAAUAUUUUUGAAAAGCUUUGGUUUUACUGACCCACUCAAUUUUGUUUUUCGCCCCUCCAGGUUCAAGUUAGCAGAGCUUUGGUGGCCACGAGGAACCCAACGGCAUUCUGACAGAAUUCACAAAAGUAGGACUCACCCUCGAGGGUUUCCAUUUUAGUAAUUGUAUUUUAAAAGCUUCCGAACUGUGUAAAUGGUUACGUCACUCUCACGUGACGGCCAGCAUGCCCUGCUUCGGGACGGGGUGUGUCAAACAUGCUUUAGAGAAUUCCCUCAAUUCCUUACCAGAUUCUCUCUUAUUUUCACACAAGACUUUCUGACUACACUCCCUAUACUAAGUAUAUGUGAGAAGAUUGAUGUAAACAUGAAAACUAGUACUCACAUAUGUUUAUAACAAAGAAAGCAAUUUCUAGAAUUAUUAAUGCAUGUAUAUAUAUAUGAUCUCAUGAACGGAAUGCUACUACUUAGAAGCAAGAACCAGGGAUUCCAUAUGCUCAUACCAAUUUCAAACUCCACAAAUUGAAACACAUAACACCCAAGAUAGAAGUCAAAGGGUUGUAACGGGGCUUAGGUAUUGGCUAACAAGGAAAGGUAAGGGUAGACAAACGUUCUUAAAGCAAUAGUAAGCAAAGUAAUGAAAUUGACACUUAGAAUUCACUUUUGAAUGCAAAAAUCCACCUUAAACACAAAGGGAAGGUUCACAAAACACUUAGCGCCAGAUUCAAUCUUUUGGACCCUUUCUUCAACAACCAACACUUGUGAGCUCAUUCUCACUUAUUUAGAACUCUUUUUCUUUCUUUCAAACCCUUGCCCUAUUUCUUUGGCACACAAAACACACACUUUGAAAACCCUUCCCCCACACUUGUUUCUGCAAUAAUGUUGCCCAAAAGGAAUUCCUUCUAAGUUAUGCUUCACUAUACUUUAAGAACAAGGGUAAGGAUAGUCUUAUUUGAGGCUUGGUAGGGAUAAUGUGGUUAAUAAAGAAAAUAGGCUAAACAAGGCUCAAAGAGGUUAAACCUACAAAACAAAUGCAUAGGAUGAAGGCUUUUUGGCUCUGGUGGUAACUACUAAACAACUUCAUCUUGUUAUGUGUUAUGCAUUCAAUUUUAAGCUUUGAAUGGAACGGGCAUGAGUUCUAGUAUUUGGAACUAUAAUGAUGAAAACGCAUUCUAAGUAGCAACCAAGCAAAGAAUAAUGAGAUAAUGCAACGACUUAGUAAACAAGAAUGCACAGAUUAAUAACUCUCCAAAUAACGUUUAGGCUCAAGUCUCACAGGGUUGUAGCGUUAGUUUGAGUCCUUCCUUCAAGCAUGCUACAAAAACUGAUUUUUUUUUUCUUUAUGAUUACAUGUGAAUUCGUAAACAUCAACUAUAACCAAGUAUUAGCCAAAGAGCAUAUCAAACUUCCAUCCAUGUUUGUAACUUUCUUUAACAGUCAUGCAAUUAAAAACCGAAUCCUCAUCAUUGUGUUGGAAGGUAUCCUAAGACACAAACAACACACAAAAACAACUCUUUUUGGCUUUUUCAAAACAAUUUUUCAAGUUUUUAUCAAAUUUUCAGAUUUUUAUGUCAAAACAUACUAAAAUGCUUCAAAACACACUACAAACACUUAAAACAAUGAAAAACAACAUUGUAAGUGAUAGGUAAAUAAAUUUUUAUGUCAAAACAUACUAAAAUGCUUCAAAACACACUACAAACACUUAAAAAUAGUGAAAAACAACAUUGUAAGUGAUAGGUAAAUAAUGAAGGAAAAUUUUGUGAAAACAUGUUCAUUUAAGCAACAUCAAUAAGCAUGCAAUUAACAAUUAAAGGCGAAAUCAUGCUAGCAUGCACUUAAAAACAAAACAUUAACCAAGAAAUUCAAAACCUAGUAGAUUGGUGAACCAUUAAUCAACUCAAAACAAAGUGAGUUGAAAUUGUACCUUUGUAGAUUCCUCUUUGCAUAAGCAAAGGCUAAUCACCCAAAGAGAGGGCCUUCAUUCCUUGCAUAUUAAAUCUAUGGAUUUGGAUGGAAGAAUAGGAUUCUCCAAGUUCCCAAAAUAGGGAACCUCUAAGUCUCUUCACCAAGGAGAGAUUGGAGA
rnacentral:lncRNA from 1 species